GAUGUCUCAGCCAUCUCGUGUUGUUAUCAUCUUCUGCAAGAUGAAUGGUAUAGACUAUGAGGAGAUCAAAGUACAUAUCUCAAAGGGUCAUCAUUUAACUUCUGAAUUUGCAGAAAUAAAUCCCAUGA